CUCCCCCCACCCAAACUCCCUCCCAGAGCCUUAGGCAGGUGUGGGGUGGAGUUUGGGGGCAGGCAGGCUCUGGGCAUUCUGGGCACCACCAAAAUUUCUACAAACCUGCUGCCCCUGACUGUUGCUGCCUGUGAGAAGCCAUCCCCCAAUGUCCCACACUGACAUGAAAUCAGUGCAAGCGCUUCUGGUGAGGACGUGCACCACCGACAGGAGCAUAGUGUGCAUGUGCAAAAGGAUUUAAUUACUUCAGUGGCUGUAUGUUGACGUAACUUAGGUCGACUUAAUUUUGUAGUGUAAACUUGCCCUACAGAAAGGCUGUCAGUAUUCCAGCUAGUUGCCAAGUUAGAAAUUCAAUGCUGUGUUCUCCUCUUCUCUACUUGAGCAGACUGGCACUCGGGUCUCAUGGUCAGCCAGUGCAGGUGCAUGCACGACUUUCAACCUGGCUGGCUGUGUGGGUUGCCUGGGGCCCAAUAAAGCAGGGGAAUCUCUCCCUUUUUUGAACUGCUGUGUUGACAACAUUGAGCCGCUUGGAUCCAGCCUGCUGGGCAACUAUUGCGUAUUCCAUCACGGAGGCAUUUAGACCCUAACUCUUUUUGAGACACACUUUAUGUAACUGUGAGAGCACAGAAGGUUCUCUGCUCCAAAGCUCUUCAGUCAUGCCAUUCUUUGUUUGAUUUAUAACAUUACAUUGGGGGGAGGGGCGGUCCCACUCAAGUUCUGAUUCAGGUUCAUUAAAGGGAAUCGAAAUAUAGCUCUUUAAAAUGCCUUAUUUUUCCUUGGGUAUUUUGUCCAAACAAGUGUUAGCCCAGAGCUUGGAAGGAUAAGAGAUUCCUACAUCUGCUGUCACUAAAACAGGACCCGAGUGCUGUUGCAGCUAAACAAAGUGCAAAGUGAAAUUAAGUGUUGGCACUUAAAUGCCCAGCUUUGCUGGUCUCUGGGGCAGCAAUUAGUCCUGAUCUACCUUCAGUAAAUGCAUUUGUGUAGAAGCCUCAUACACAGACACUACAGAAUAGCAGAGCUAAACGGGGGAAUAUUGGGAAUACACCCCAAAACACCUAGUCAUUUUUAGGACAGCUAAUUUUAAAAGCAAACUACUGUCUCUUACACAGUUCCUUUAGUGACAACACUUAAUCUGAGCACUGUCCUGGCUUUCUAUUUUCCCACCAGAGGAUUUUAAUGUCAUUCUACUGUAAAUGCUGUUGAAUGUAAUUCUUUGGAACAAUAUAUUGUGUGAUCCCUCUUCUCCUACACAGUAAUAAAACUUGGAUUCAGGAGUUUUAAAAUGCA